rnacentral:lncRNA from 1 species
AUGUUUCCAAUUGAAGCUGUAAUAGAUCCUUAUUCCAAGUCUCUAACCAGGUACAGAGGUUGCUACAUUAAGGGUAAGNNUAGAUGUCUGAUUGAAUCUUUCUCCCGCACAUGCCUGACAAGGGUGUCUAUUGUCACUUCAGGCAGAGUGGAUAGUGAGAGAGAGAGACAGAGAGAAAGGUCUUCGUUUUGCCGUUGGUUCAACACUGAAACUGUUUUAUUGUUAUGACCCUCCCAAUCAUUCUGAAAUUUUCAAGGUAUUUUAAAAGAAGACUACAUAAUAGCAGAGAAGCAAGUUCUGACACUUCAAUGAGAUCUGCUUGA